UCUCAUUUUUCUACUGCUCGUGGAUUUACGCGCACGUUGGAACCGAAGAGAGCUCUGUUGUUGCAAUGUUCAGCCCACAAGAGCUUACUGGUGAAGGAAUGGGACAAGACCCAUCUUUAUGCAAAGCCAGCGUUACAGUAAUGUUCCAGGAGCAGCUUGUUGCUAUAUACCAUUGAAAAGCCUUCAGAGCUGAGAGGUACUACUAACCAAUAACCUGCUUGGCUCAAAGGGCCAGCACCUUCUCUCUAAAGCCCAAGAGGAGUUUGAGGAAAACUAGGUGUCUGUGUUCACUCCAGGCUGAAGUUACAGGUCUGAGCAAAUAAGGUGUAUAAAAAAUGGAAUCUGUCUUGGAGGACAUCAGAAGGUGAAUUUUCCAAGUUCUUGGACAACCUAGCUGUUGAAAAGCUUUCUGGGUUUGGGGGGUAUUUCAGAUGUACCUUAAAGUGUUAGCAGACACAGAUUAAGACACUGGGAGCCAAUGAAACAGCAGUUGAGGGUUUGCUGUGUAUCACAUUUCUGUAUUUUAUCACCCCCUUCCUGCAACAUUAUUUAUCUGGAAUCUACCUGCCCUUUUGUUUUUUAGAUACAAGGGCUUGGUUUUGUUACCCAGGCUGGUUUCAAGGCCAUAGCUUUAAGAGAUCCUCUCACCACAGAUUUCCAAAGUGCUGGGAUUGCAGGUGUGAUUCAUGGCACCCAGACUUUGCUGCCUUUCUUACAUGAUCCAGGCCCAGAACCCAAACUCAGGCACUGUAUAGAUGACCACUUUCGUAAACUACUGACCUAGCUUGUUGCCAAUUGUUGAUUGAACUUCCCAUAACUCCACUUCGUGUCUGUUCCUCUGUAUACAGCCACCUUCUGUUCCCGUCAUGAGCCUUUAGGUCUCCAUUUGCAUAUUGCAAAUACUAUGUUCCAUGUAGGUAGCUCAUUCAGGGCCUUGCUCUUCACUUCAAAAAAGGUUCCCUUGAGGACUGGCUGUCAAUUUGUGUUGCUGUGUUGGUUGUUGAUGAAAAUAAUAAAAUGAUUGAUUACAUAG
rnacentral:lncRNA from 1 species